rnacentral:misc_RNA from 1 species
CCGAGUUUACAACUCCCAAACCCCUGUGAACAUACCACUUGUUGCCUCGGCGGAUCAGCCCGCUCCCGGUAAAACGGGACGGCCCGCCAGAGGACCCCUAAACUCUGUUUCUAUAUGUAACUUCUGAGUAAAACCAUAAAUAAAUCAAAACUUUCAACAACGGAUCUCUUGGUUCUGGCAUCGAUGAAGAACGCAGCAAAAGGCGAUAAGUAAUGUGAAUUGCAGAAUUCAGUGAAUCAUCGAAUCUUUGAACGCACAUUGCGCCCGCCAGUAUUCUGGCGGGCAUGCCUGUUCGAGCGUCAUUUCAACCCUCAAGCACAGCUUGGUGUUGGGACUCGCGUUAAUUCGCGUUCCUCAAAUUGAUUGGCGGUCACGUCGAGCUUCCAUAGCGUAGUAGUAAAACCCUCGUUACUGGUAAUCGUCGCGGCCACGCCGUUAAAACCCCAACUUCUGAAUGUUGACCUCGGAUCAGGUAGGAAUACCCGCUGAACUUAAGCAUAUCAAUAAGCGGAGGAAUCGCGUACUUGGUCAUUUAGAGGAAGUAAAAGUCGUAACAAGGCUUCCGUAGGUGAACCUGCGGAAGGAUCAUUAACGAGUUUUAAUUGUUAGGUUAGAGUUGAGCUGGUUAAUCUAAUUAAUAUGUGCUUACUCUAAUCGAAACAAGUCCACUCAUUACUUAACACUUGUGAACUUAUUCAUUACAAACAUUAUUAUUUGUUAUUGGAACGUUUGAUUAUUAAAAAGUUAAUA